AUUGAACGCUGGCGGCAGGCCUAACACAUGCAAGUCGAACGGUAGCACAGAGGAGCUUGCUCCUUGGGUGACGAGUGGCGGACGGGUGAGUAAUGUCUGGGAAACUGCCCGAUGGAGGGGGAUAACUACUGGAAACGGUAGCUAAUACCGCAUAACGUCGCAAGACCAAAGAGGGGGACCUUCGGGCCUCUUGCCAUCGGAUGUGCCCAGAUGGGAUUAGCUAGUAGGUGGGGUAACGGCUCACCUAGGCGACGAUCCCUAGCUGGUCUGAGAGGAUGACCAGCCACACUGGAACUGAGACACGGUCCAGACUCCUACGGGAGGCAGCAGUGGGGAAUAUUGCACAAUGGGCGCAAGCCUGAUGCAGCCAUGCCGCGUGUAUGAAGAAGGCCUUCGGGUUGUAAAGUACUUUCAGCGAGGAGGAAGGCGUUGUGGUUAAUAACCGCAACGAUUGACGUUACUCGCA
rnacentral:rRNA from 1 species